AUGGGUAGAGAGAAGGAGAAAGGAGAGGUUGGGUUUAGAAGGAAAAGGGUUGAUUCUUUAUAGUAAUGGCGUUGGAGGGGUGGAGAAUGGAAUAGGACGACGACGACCUAUUUGGCGUAAACGAGACUCAAAACCUUCCUUUUGACGCCUCUU